AACGAACGCUGGCGGCAGGCUUAACACAUGCAAGUCGAACGGGUGUAGCAAUACAUCAGUGGCAGACGGGUGAGUAACACGUGGGAACCUUCCUAGGGGUACGGAACAACUCAGGGAAACUUGAGCUAAUACCGUAUACGUCCGUAAGGAGAAAGAUUCAUCGCCCCUAGACGGGCCCGCGUCGGAUUAGGUAGUUGGUGGGGUAACGGCCUACCAAGCCUACGAUCCGUAGCUGAUCUGAGAGGANGAUCAGCCACACUGGGACUGAGACACGGCCCAGACUCCUACGGGAGGCAGCAGUGGGGAAUCUUGGACAAUGGGCGCAAGCCUGAUCCAGCCAUGCCGCGUGAGUGAAGAAGGCCUUAGGUU
rnacentral:rRNA from 1 species